rnacentral:rRNA from 1 species
UGGGGAAUAUUGCACAAUGGGCGCAAGCCUGAUGCAGCCAUGCCGCGUGUAUGAAGAAGGCCUUCGGGUUGUAAAGUACUUUCAGCGGGGAGGAAGGCGAUAAGGUUAAUAACCUUGUCGAUUGACGUUACCCGCAGAAGAAGCACCGGCUAACUCCGUGCCAGCAGCCGCGGAAAUACGGAGGGGUCAAGCGUUAAUCGGAAUUACAGGGCGUAAAGCGCACGCAGGCGGUCUGUCAAGUCGGAUGUGAAAUCCCCGGGCUCAACCUGGGAACUGCAUUCGAAACUGGCAGGCUAGAGUCUUGUAGAGGGGGGUAGAAUUCCAGGUGUAGCGGUGAAAUGCGUAGAGAUCUGGAGGAAUACCGGUGGCGAAGGCGGCCCCCUGGACAAAGACUGACGCUCAGGUGCGAAAGCGUGGGGAGCAAACA